rnacentral:rRNA from 1 species
AGAGUUUGAUCAUGGCUCAGGAUGAACGCUAGCGACAGGCUUAACACAUGCAAGUCGGAGGGGCAGCAUGAUUUGUAGCAAUACAGAUUGAUGGCGACCGGCGCACGGGUGAGUAACGCGUAUGCAACUUACCUAUCAGGGGGGGAUAGCCCGGCGAAAGUCGGAUUAAUACCCCAUAAAACAGGGGUCCCGCAUGGGAAUAUUUGUUAAAGAUUCAUCGCUGAUAGAUAGGCAUGCGUUCCAUUAGGCAGUUGGCGGGGUAACGGCCCACCAAACCGACGAUGGAUAGGGGUUCUGAGAGGAAGGUCCCCCACAUUGGUACUGAGACACGGUCCAAACUCCUACGGGAGGCAGCA